rnacentral:rRNA from 1 species
AACGAACGCUGGCGGCAGGCCUAACACAUGCAAGUCGAGCGAAGCCUUCGGGCUUAGCGGCGGACGGGUGAGUAACGCGUGGGAACGUGCCCUUUGGUACGGAAUAGCCCCGGGAAACUGGGAGUAAUACCGUAUGUGGUCGAGAGACGAAAGAUUUAUCGCCAAAGGAUCGGCCCGCGUUGGAUUAGGUAGUUGGUGGGGUAAUGGCCUACCAAGCCGACGAUCCAUAGCUGGUUUGAGAGGAUGAUCAGCCACACUGGGACUGAGACACGGCCCAGACUCCUACGGGAGGCAGCAGUGGGGAAUCUUAGACAAUGGGGGAAACCCUGAUCUAGCCAUGCCGCGUGAUCGAUGAAGGCCUUAGGGUUGUAAAGAUCUUUCAGUGGGGAAGAUAAUGACUGUACCCACAGAAGAAGCCCCGGCUAACUCCGUGACAGCCGCCGCGGUAAGAC